rnacentral:misc_RNA from 1 species
UACACGAUCGUCCUACGGGUCGUCAUUCGACAGGAGUUUAGUCGGUGCCGGUCCCGAAACGUGUUCACGUCUGAACAUCCUGCGGGACGUGAAAUUUAAGAUGGCAAGGGAUAUGUACAUUUGAUAGGACGGUCCAUUAGUGGGGAAACAAAGGAAAAAGAUAAAUAUAAGAUAUUCGGCUUUUUUAGUGAACGAAUAAUAGAAAAACGGAAGAAGUUAGAUACGCGGAGAUAAUGAACGAUCCAGAGAGUGAGAGAAGAAGGGGUCUGCGCGAAAGGAACCUUUAGAUUCGUCUAAUUGCACGUCCAAAUUCCUGGUGUCGCGUCUUAAAUCGUAAUAACUGCUUUCAUAAUCGUGUUAUUAUCAUUAUUAUUUAAUCGAUCAUAAUCGUAUUCUUCUCGAGAUGAUAAAAUCACGUAGAACAUUCGAAUAAUUUUCAUAUAUAUUUACAGCCAUUUUAUCUUUUUUUUUCCACUUGUUCGCUCUCUCAUUCAUUCUCUCUCUCUCUCUCUCUCUCUCUUUCUCGUCGCGUUACGAAUUGCUCCUAUUGAAGGGGGGUGGGGAACGUUAGACAUUCUCGAUGACACCUCCGCGACGAAUGUUAUUACGGGAUAAAGGAGAGAGCAAAAGAACGUGGGUCGUCUCGUCUUAAAGAAGGUCAGAAGGAGAAGAAAAUAUGGGAAAGGGCGAUAAAAGGGGAAUAGCACAGCGCAGCGACGCGGGAACGAAUCUCGUGGGAAAAUUUACUCAAAGUGUACGAAGGAUCGUUCAAGAUGUCAAGGAUGAAGGAACAUCGAGUGGUCAAACGAAGGAAGAGGUCAUCGAGACGAACGAACGACUGAGGAUAGUCAGGAUACGUCUCGAAGGAAGUUAUGACACCGCUAAACGCGCUCUCGUCGAGCUUAUGUGCAAGUAUACGAACAGUAAACAAGUCCGUAACGUGUUCCAACGGUACAACCUCCUGAAAGUUAUGAUCAAGGAUGUGAUCAAACUAGAGACGCAGUACUGGACUCUGGUGGAUAUACCAAGGCAAGAGAAACAAGAAACGGUGCUCGCCUUCGUUCUGCGUGCCUGUUCCAUCAUGGAAAAGACUCACAAGAGUGGAGAGGGCGUGAAAACCUCGGCACGAUUGGCGGAGGAAGCUGAGACGAAAAGGGAACGCAUCGAGAGACUCGAGGGUCUGACUACAGCAAUGAUCGAAACGGAGAAUACCCAUAUGACCAAUGAUCUGUACAGGUUGCUGAAAAAGUAUACAGGGCUAAGAAAUCUUAUUCGUGUUCUAAAGGAGGAAUACAACAAUUCGAAGAUAUAUCCGAUGUUUCCACGUUACACGAUUCUGAAAGAUAUGAUAAAAGACAUAAUGCACAAUCCAGACUACAUGGAGGUUUGUCACGAGUUGGAUCAAGCAUAGCGGCCGGACCCCCUUCACCGUUCGCCACGGAUGACCUUAUAAAUCAAAGGUCAUUUCGAGGCGCAUCGGUGUAGGGGGUGCACAGACCAUGUGUCCUGUCCAUUUCGUCGUUUCUUGUGUCAAGAAUGGUUAGAAUCGGUGGUUGACAAAGGAACUCGGCGAAUAGGAACUAAUCAAGAUGGCCGCAACUAACUCGAGUUUACCCAGUGAAAUUCCAACGAAGAA